rnacentral:rRNA from 1 species
GACGAACGCUGGCGGCGUGCUUAACACAUGCAAGUCGAACGGAAAGGCCCUGCUUUUGUGGGGUGCUCGAUUGGCGAACGGGUGAGUAACACGUGAGUAACCUGCCCUUGACUUUGGGAUAACUUCAGGAAACUGGGGCUAAUACCGGAUAGGAGCUCCUGCUGCAUGGUGGGGGUUGGAAAGUUUCGGCGGUUGGGGAUGGACUCGCGGCUUAUCAGCUUGUUGGUGGGGUAGUGGCUUACCAAGGCUUUGACGGGUAGCCGGCCUGAGAGGGUGACCGGCCACAUUGGGACUGAGAGACGGCCCAGACUCCUACGGGAGGCAGCAGUGGGGAAUAUUGCACAAUGGGCGGAAGCCGGAUGCAGCAACGCCGCGUGCGGGAUGACGGCCUUCGGGUUGUAAACCGCUUGCGCCUGUGACGAAGCGUGAGUGACGGUAAUGGGUAAAGAAGCACCGGCUAAAUACGUG